GGGAAUGUGGCUUAGUGGUAGAGUACUUGCCUAGCAUGCAUGAAGACCUGAGUUCAAUUCCUCAGUACCA
rnacentral:tRNA from 1 species